UGGGGAAUCUUGGACAAUGGGGGCAACCCUGAUCCAGCCAUGCCGCGUGAGUGAUGAAGGCCUUAGGGUCGUAAAGCUCUUUCGCCUGUGAAGAUAAUGACGGUAGCAGGUAAAGAAACCCCGGCUAACUCCGUGCCAGCAGCCGCGGUAAUACGGAGGGGGUUAGCGUUGUUCGGAAUUACUGGGCGUAAAGCGCACGUAGGCGGACCAGAAAGUUGGGGGUGAAAUCCCGGGGGCUCAACCCCGGAACUGCCUCCAAAACUAUUGGUCUAGAGUUCGAGAGAGGUGAGUGGAAUUCCAAGUGUAGAGGUGAAAUUCGUAGAUAUUUGGAGGAACACCAGUGGCGAAGGCGGCUCACUGGCUCGAUACUGACGCUGAGGUGCGAAAGUGUGGGGAGCAAACAGGAUUAGAUACCCUGGUAGUCCACACCGUAAAACGAUGAAUGCCAGUCGUCGGGUAGCAUGCUAUUCGGUGACACACCUAACGGAUUAAGCAUUCCGCCUGGGGAGUACGGUCGG
rnacentral:rRNA from 1 species